UACGGAGGGGGCUAGCGUUAUUCGGAAUUAUUGGGCGUAAAGGGCGUGUAGGCGGCUUCGUGUGUCCCAUGUGAAAGCCCUCGGCUCAACCGGGGAACUGCAUGGGAAACUGCGGAGCUUGAGUCCGGGAGAGGAUAGUGGAAUUCCCAGUGUAGCGGUGAAAUGCGUAGAUAUCGGGAAGAACACCCGUGGCUAAGGCGGCUCUCUAGUACGGUACUGACGCUGAGACGCGAAAGCGUGGGGAGCGAACAGG
rnacentral:rRNA from 1 species